rnacentral:rRNA from 1 species
GACGAACGCUGGCGGCGCGCCUAACACAUGCAAGUCGAACGGAGCUGCGAGAAGCUUGCUUUUCUUAGCUUAGUGGCGAACGGGUGAGUAACGCGUGAGUAACCUGCCCUGGAGUGGGGGACAACAGUUGGAAACGACUGCUAAUACCGCCUAAGCCCACGAUCCGGCAUCGGAUUGAGGGAAAAGGAUUUAUUCGCUUCAGGAUGGACUCGCGUCCAAUUAGCUAGUUGGUGAGGUAACGGCCCACCAAGGCGACGAUUGGUAGCGGGACUGAGAGGUUGAACGGCCACAUUGGGACUGAGACAAGGCCCAGACUCCGACGGGAGGCAGCAGUGGGGGAGAUGGCACAAUGGGGGAAACCCUGAUGCAGCGGCGCCGCGGGGAGGAAGAAGGUUUUCGGAUAGUAAACUCCUGUCGUUAGGGACGAUAAGGCGGGAACCUAACAAGAAGGCACCGGUGAACUACGG